UGGCUUCGCGACUGCGGAAGGUUGCCCGGGCUGGCGCCGCUGGGCAGAGCCGGUGCGACGUUUCCCUUUCCAGCUUUGUUCUUCCGGCCCUGCUGUCUGCCUCCCCGGCUGAUUGGAUUCGUUACUGCUUUGCAACGCGCACCUAACUCCAGACGGGGUCUCACUCUGUCGCCCAGGCUGGAGUGCAGUGGCACAAUCUCAGCUUGCUGUGACCUCAGCUCUCUGCGACCUCUGCUUGCUGGACUCAAGCGAUCCUCCCACCACCUCAGCCUCCUGAGUAGCUGGAACCAUCAUAUGCACCAGCACGCCUGGCUAAGCUGGAAUGCAAUAGCGUGGUCUUGGCUCACUGCAACCUCCGCCUCCCGGGUUCAAGCAAUUCUCCUGCCUCAGCCUCCUAAGUAGCUGGGACUACAGCUUGAGGUCCUACCUGGUGUCCUCCAUGAGAAUCAUACAAGCCCCGCUACAGACAACAGAAUUGGAAGGUCCUGAGAGCUACCAGAAGCAUCUUCAGUUUUCAUAUGAAAAACUUAAGCCCAGGAGUGAUUUGUGCAGCCAAGGACACACAGCAAGUUAGUGGCUGCACCAGAAAUAGUACUCACUGCCUCAGACAGUCCCUCCCACAGUCUACUCUGUCUCCACCCCAAGGUCUGGUUCUGAAUCAUUCAGUUGUCAGUUGUCUCCUUUUUUUUUUUUUUUUUUGGAGACAGGGUCUCUCUCUGUGGCCCAGGCUGAAGUGCAGUGGUGUGAUUACAGCUCAUGUAGCCUGGACCUCCCAAGCUCAAGCAAUCCUCCUGCCUCUGCCUCCCAAGUAGCUGGGACCACAGGUGGGCAGCACCACACCUGGCUAAUUUUUUAAAUUUUUUUUUAUAGAGACAGGGUCUUACCAUUUGCCCCAGCUGGUCUCAAACCCCUGGGCUCAAGCAAGCCUCCUGCCUUGGCCUCCCAAAGUGCUGGGAUUACAGGUGUGAGCCACCACACCCGGCCUUAUCUCCUAACAUUUUGAUAGCACAAAAUUUUGAAAACCCACUUCUGUGUACGUUAUGAAGCAUAGAAAAUUAAACAGUAUGCACCAAAAAAAAAUAA
rnacentral:lncRNA from 1 species